rnacentral:rRNA from 1 species
AAUAGAACCCGGGUAGUCACGCCGUAAACGAUGAGUGCUAAGUGUUAGAGGGUUUCCGCCCUUUAGUGCUGCAGCUAACGCAUUAAGCACUCCGCCUGGGGAGUACGGCCGCAAGGCUGAAACUCAAAGGAAUUGACGGGGGCCCGCACAAGCGGUGGAGCAUGUGGUUUAAUUCGAAGCAACGCGAAGAACCUUACCAGGUCUUGACAUCCUCUGCCAACCCUAGAGAUAGGGCGUUCCCCUUCGGGGGACAGAGUGACAGGUGGUGCAUGGUUGUCGUCAGCUCGUGUCGUGAGAUGUUGGGUUAAGUCCCGCAACGAGCGCAACCCUUGAUCUUAGUUGCCAGCAUUCAGUUGGGCACUCUAAGGUGACUGCCGGUGACAAACCGGAGGAAGGUGGGGAUGACGUCAAAUCAUCAUGCCCCUUAUGACCUGGGCUACACACGUGCUACAAUGGAUGGUACAAAGAGCUGCGAACCCGCGAGGGUAAGCGAAUCUCAUAAAGCCAUUCUCAGUUCGGA